AUCCUGACACCAGACAGUUCCCCAAUGAUAAAUUGGGGAACAAUUCCUCUUGUUGACAUCUGCUCUUCCACGUUUGUUUAGCUCUUUGGAUGCUGUUUGUUCACAUCAACAGGACUGUGGAUAACCACCCUCCAUCUGAGCAGUGAGAUUGUGAGAGAAGACCUUGGAUGGAAUUAAUUUAGUAGACAUAUGGUCUUCGUUUUAUGCUUUGGAGGGCAAUGAACUAUUGACCACCAAAUGAUGGGAGAGAGACACUGGAUGCUGAGGCGGCCUUGCUGGAAGUGCCCCCUGGGAGACAGUGCUCAGCAGCACAGGUAGGAAGACUGAAGGAUAAACUCCAAUAAAAGCAGCGCCAGAGUGUCUGGGUAAUUGGAUGUCUUGUGAUUCAAACUAUGCUGGAAUACAAAAUACAAAACUGAUGACUGAUAUGGCUUUUUGUUCUCCAGCC